rnacentral:rRNA from 1 species
AUUGAACGCUGGCGGCAUGCCUUACACAUGCAAGUCGAACGGUAACAGGUCUUCGGAUGCUGACGAGUGGCGAACGGGUGAGUAAUACAUCGGAACGUGCCCGAUCGUGGGGGAUAACGAGGCGAAAGCUUUGCUAAUACCGCAUACGAUCUACGGAUGAAAGCGGGGGAUCUUCGGACCUCGCGCGGACGGAGCGGCCGAUGGCAGAUUAGGUAGUUGGUGGGAUAAAAGCUUACCAAGCCGACGAUCUGUAGCUGGUCUGAGAGGAUGAUCAGCCACACUGGGACUGAGACACGGCCCAGACUCCUACGGGAGGCAGCAGUGGGGAAUUUUGGACAAUGGGCGAAAGCCUGAUCCAGCCAUGCCGCGUGCAGGAUGAAGGCCUUCGGGUUGUAAACUGCUUUUGUACGGAACGAAAAGCCUCUUUCUAAUAAAGAGAGGUCAUGACGGUACCGUAAAAAUAAGCACCGGCUAACUACGUG